rnacentral:snRNA from 9 species
UAAAUUCUGGCGUAGGGGAUACCGUGAUCAUGCAGGCGGUUCCCCUAGGGCGAAGCUGCUCCAUUGCACUUCGAAGUGGUUGACCCUUGCGAUUUUUUUUAUAUCAAUAAAAAAGUCUUAAUAAAAUAUGUAUACCCGAAUAAUUAUUUUCUUUAUACCUCGAA